rnacentral:lncRNA from 1 species
AAUUCAGAGUGACAGCAUCAGGGAUUAAGAAAAAUGGUUGGGUGUGUGAACCUUUGUUCACAAAGGUACAUGUGGAAGGACUUAUCUCCUUGGAGCUUCAAGCAAAACUUGCAACAUUUCCACAAUGUGUCUUCUGUCUCCCCAGCACCUGAUGAAGAGACUUAAGGGUGAAAGGGUUUACUGUGGAUGAUGCUGUUCACACUCAUGGUAGGUCUUCAUUUUCAGGUAAAUCUCAAGAGAGAGACACCCUCAUAGACAUGCCUAGAAGUGU